rnacentral:rRNA from 1 species
UACGUAGGUGGCAAGCGUUGUCCGGAUUUACUGGGCGUAAAGAGCGCGCAGGCGGUCGUUCAAGUCGCGUGUGAAAGCCCCCGGCUCAACUGGGGAGGGUCACGCGAUACUGAUCGACUCGAAGGCAGGAGAGGGAAGUGGAAUUCCCGGUGUAGUGGUGAAAUGCGUAGAUAUCGGGAGAACACCAGUGGCGAAGGCGACUUCCUGGCCUGUUCUUGACGCUGGGGC